GAUGAAGAACGUAGCGAAAUGCGAUAAGUAAUGUGAAUUGCAGAAUUCAGUGAAUCAUCGAAUCUUUGAACGCACAUUGCGCCCGCCAGUAUUCUGGCGGGCAUGCCUGUUCGAGCGUCAUUACAACCCUCAGGCCCCCGGGCCUGGCGUUGGGGAUCGGCGGAAGCCCCCUGCGGGCACAACGCCGUCCCCCAAAUACAGUGGCGGUCCCGCCGCAGCUUCCAUUGCGUAGUAGCUAACACCUCGCAACUGGAGAGCGGCGCGGCCACGGCGUAAAACACCCAACUUCUGAAUGUUGACCUCGAAUCAGGUAGGAAUACCCGCUGAACUUAAGCAUAUCAAUAAGCGGAGGA
rnacentral:misc_RNA from 1 species